CUUUUGCUAUGAUGCCUUCUUCCUAUUAACAUACCCUCAAGAUAACAACACAUUAAUAAUGAGAAAUUCGUUAAUCAUUAUCUUGAUUCUCCCUUGAACGGCUAUGACUUGAUGAAAUGAAGGUUGAUAAAUCAGGUGUUAACACUUACGCUCUCACCAAACGCUAAUCCCCAAUUCUUCGCCAUGAGUACGGUACUAGGAUCAUCGUCAGAUCUCUCGCAGGAAGGUGUUGUUGAUUUAGAAGACAAGAAGAACGAUGACCACAGCACCAGAAAGCGCCCUUACAACACUGAAUCUAAACCAGUGGGUGAUCUUUGUGGCAAUAAGGGUGAUAGCCCUAGAAAGGGCCCUCUCGUCAUGUCUGACUCUGAAUCUGCUGAACUAGCGUGUGAGUUUGCAAAUAAUAGCACCUCUGGUCAGAAGGGUAACCCCAUUGUGAGAGCACUCCCUCAGAACACGCCUCUCUCUGAUUUUCUUAAAGCUGAAGCGGAAGCGGAAGCGGAAGCGGAAGCAGGUGAUCUUCUUCCAAAAGUCUAUCCACCGGGUUAUGUUCCUCCAAAGGGAAUGCAAUGGUUUGUCAGCUCUGCGGGGUUGUAAAUUGUCGCACCCCCGGUCUCAGCCGUCCUGUGAUGUUGAGUUGUUGCUUUUGUAAAGAGUACGGUGUUGUUGAUUUAGAAGACAAGAAGAACGAUGAUCUCAGCACCAGAAAGCGCCCUUACAACACUGAAUCUAAACCAGUGGGUGAUCUUUGUGGCAAUAAGGGUGAUAGCCCUAGAAAGCGCCCUCUCGUCAUGUCUGACUCUGAAUCUGCUGAACUAGUGUGCAGGGCCGGUCCUGAGAAUUCAGAGACCCAGUGCGAAAAUUUAACCGAGGUCUUGUGUUCAUUGCAUAAUGACUCUUUUUUUUUUUUUGAAGAACAUUGCAUAAUGACUUAAAAAUAAAUAAAUGGGUAUAACAAAGUACGAAAGUAAAAAAAGAAAAAGAAAAAAAGAAGAGAAAAUAAGAAAGGAAGAUUAAAACAGAAAAAGAGAAAAGCAAAAAAAUUAGAGACACGGAAAGUAGAAAAAAAAAAUGGAAGAUUAAAGUACGGAGCCUGGGAUUCGAACCCGUGAAAAGGGAAUACCCGCGAGACGUUGCCAGCCUACCAACUAGACUACACAAGCCUCUUAGAUUAUAAGGGGAACUAACUUUAUUAUAUUUCUCUUGUACCAAUAUAUAUAUGUAUUUGAAACUCGAAGCCGGAGGCCGCCCAUUUCCAGAGGCCUUGUGCGGCGGCACUAUGUGCACACCCUCAGGGCCGCCCAUGCUAGUGUGUGAGUUUGCAAAUAAUAGCACCUCUGGUCAGAAGGGUAACCCCAUUGUGAGAGCACUCCCUCAGAACACGCCUCUCUCGGAUUUUCUUAAAGCUGAAGCUGAAGCGGAAGCGGAAGCGGAAGCAGGUGAUCUUCUUCCAAAAGUCUAUCCACCGGGUUAUGUUCCUCCAAAGGGAUAUGCAAUGGUUUGUCAGCUCUGCGGGGUUGUAAAUUGUCGCACCCCCGGUCUCAGCCGUCCUAUGAAGAUGAGUUGUUGCUUUUGUAAAGAGAGCGGUACACACUAUUCUUUGGAUUGCAAAAAAUUCCGCGGUCCCCCAAUGCCUGAACGGUACAGCUGCUUUUAUUGGAAACCAGCCAUUUAGAGGGUAGUGAGGAUGCUUUUAUGGUAUUCAAAAAUAUUAACGACAAUUUGUUAAAUUGUAGCUUGUGGAGGGAACUUUAAUCAGAGUGUAGUCUAAUUCUGCCAUGUUUUGUAUAACUUGGGUUCUGUUGAUGCUAUGACUUUGCUUUUGGCUGUUGACAUAUUCUGUAGAAUAUUGUUCUCUUUUCUUC